GACGAACGCUGGCGGCGUGCUUAACACAUGCAAGUCGAACGGUGAAGCGCCUUCCUUUUUGGUGGGUGUGGAUGAGUGGCGAACGGGUGAGUAACACGUGAGUAACCUGCCCCCUUCUUCUGGAUAACCGCAUGAAAGUGUGGCUAAUACGGGAUAUUCUGGGUCUGUCGCAUGAUGGGUCUGGGAAAGAUAUUGUUUCGGUGGGGGAUGGGCUCGCGGCCUAUCAGCUUGUUGGUGGGGUGAUGGCCUACCAAGGCGGUGACGGGUAGCCGGCCUGAGAGGGUGGACGGUCCCACUGGGACUGAGACACGGCCCAGACUCCUACGGGAGGCAGCAGUGGGGAAUAUUGCACAAUGGGCGCAAGCCUGAUGCAGCGACGCCGCGUGAGGGAUGGAGGCCUGCGGGUUGUGAACCUCUUUCGCCAGUGAAGCAGGCCUGCCUCGUUUGUGGGUGGGUUGACGGUAGCUGGAUAAGAAGCGCCGGCUAACUACGUG
rnacentral:rRNA from 1 species